GUCUGAAAUCGUGGAUAUGGAGGAGGACUCGCCUGCUAAAAAGCGUCGCUAUGAGAGCAGAGAGGAGGGAGGUGCACCAUGUUCCAGUUGUGUGUCUAUAAAGACUACAAAUUCAAUGGAUCCACCCAAUAAUUUCAGAACUGGAGCUGUGAAUCCUGAAGCCAUAAAAGCAUCUGAAAUCAUGGAUAUGGAGCAUAACUCUCCUGCUAAAGAGCGUCGCUAUGAUAGGUGAGAGAAGACAAUUAAUUUAUUGGAUUCACCAACUAAUUUCAGAACUGGAGCUGUGAAUCCUGAAGCCACUGGGGAAAAUGAAGUUGCCAUUAAAACAGUCAAAACCACUCACAAAACCAGAAUGAAGAAAAAGUAUGAGCGCUUAUUUGAGGGAAUCAACCUACGAGAGAAUGAAACACUCCUAAACACCAUCUACACACAGCUCUACAUUAUAGAGGGAGAGAGAGAAGGGGUGAAUGAAGAACAUGAGGUUUUGCAGAUGGAGAAAACAACCAGAACACAAGACACUCCAAUCUGCUGCAAUGACAUCGUUAACCCCCCACCUAAACCAGGAUUUGAGGAGAAAGACAAAAUCAAGACUGUCCUUACUAAAGGCGUCGCUGGAAUUGGAAAAACCGUCUCUGUGCAGAAGUUCAUUCUGGACUGGGCCGAUGGAAAAGCCAAUCAGGAUGUAGAUUUCAUAUUUGUGCUU